AGUUUUUCCCACAAAACAGAAAAUACUCUUUUAUAAGUAUGACAUCUAUGUUUGUGUUGAGGUGGUUAUUAACACUACCCAUGAUACGGGAAAUUCAGGCAGCGGGCAGUUGCACAAAUGAAAUUAAAAAUAGAAAAGCCGAUUGUUGCACCAAUUUCUUCCAUGAUGGAAACAAAUGUACAGAGUGCCCAGCAGGAUAUCAUGGAGAUAAUUGCUCAACCAUCUGUUCCGCCAAUCAUUUUGGUUUAGGUUGUGGCCAUAAAUGCACUUGCUUUCCUUGUCAUCAUAUUCAUGGCUGCAAUAUAACCAAUACCACACCUACUGAAAU